rnacentral:rRNA from 1 species
AGGUCAAGGAAGAAAGGGCGUACGGAGAAUGCCUGGGCACAGAGAGGCGAUGAAGGACGCAGCGAACAGCGAAAUGCGGCGGCGAGCGGUAAGCACGCGAUGACCCGCCGAUAUCCGAAUGGGGAAACCCCUCCGCUUUCGAAGCGGAGACCGCAUGACGACCGUCAUGACGGGGCAAUACGCAGGGAACUGAAACAUCUAAGUACCUGCAGGAAGAGAAAGAGAAGUCGAUUCCGUAAGUAGCGGCGAGCGAAAGCGGAGGAGCCCAAACCGGACACAGUCCGGGGUUGUAGGACCGCCGGUAAAGAUGACAUGAAGAGUCAGGAGAAUCCCAUGGGAAGGGGAUCCGAAGAGGGUGAGAGACCCGUAUCCGAAGGCUUGACAUGCGUCGAGGUNNNNNNNNNNNNNNNNNNNNNNNNNNNNNNNNNNNNNNNNNNNNNNNNNNNNNNNNNNNNNNNNNNNNNNNNNNNNNNNNNNNNNNNNNNNNNNNGGAUAGGAAUGUGGUAGGGGAGCAUUGCAUGCAGCGGAGAAGCAUGACCGAAAGGGCAUGUGGAGCGCAUGGAAGAGAGAAUGCCGGCGUGAGUAGCGGCACGUGGGUGAGAAUCCCACGCACCGAUGGCCCAAGGUCUCCAGAGGAAGGCUCGUCCUCUCUGGGAUAGUCGGGACCUAAGGCGAGGCCGAAAGGCGUAGCCGAUGGACGACGGGUGGAUAUUCCCGUACCCGAUGUGUGGCGAUGGAGUGACGGAGAAGGCUCAGGCAACCAGCUGGUGGAAUAGCUGGGGCAAGCGAGAUACCUGCGCACCAGGGAAAUCCGGUGCGCAUAAGGGGAAGGCGCGAUGCAUACGGAAAGCUUCGGCAAGUACGGAAAAGCUGAGAGCAGGCUUCCAGGAAAAGCUUCUAGCACAACACACAUCGGCCCGUACCGAAAAUGGACACACAUGGGCAAGGAGAGAAUCCUGAGGUGAGCGAGAGAACUAUAGCUAAGGAACUCUGCAAAAUGACCCCGUAACUUAGGGAGAAGGGGUGCUCCAGAAAUGGAGCCGCAGUAAAACGGCCCAAGCGACUGUUUACCAAAAACACAGCUCUCUGCGAAGGCGCAAGCCGAAGUAUAGGGGGUGACGCCUGCCCGGUGCUGGAAGGUCAAGGGGAGCUGUCAGCGCAAGCGAAGCAGCGAGCCGAAGCCCCAGUAAACGGCGGCCGUAACUAUAACGGUCCUAAGGUAGCGAAAUUCCUUGUCGGGCAAGUUCCGACCCGCACGAAAGGCGUAACGAUUUGGGCGCUGUCUCAGCUGUAGACUCGGUGAAGUCUUAGUACCUGUGAAGAUGCAGGUUGCCCGCGACUAGACGGAAAGACCCCAUGGAGCUUCACUGCAGGUUGACAUUGGGCUUGGAUGCAUGAUGUACAGGAUAGGUGGGAGGCUGUGAGCCGUGCGCGCCAGCGUACGGGGAGCCGCUGUUGGGAUACCACCCUUCAUGCAUCUAGGUCCUAACCGGAGGCAACGGGCCACGGGACAGUGUCAGUCGGGCAGUUUGACUGGGGCGGUCGCCUCCCAAAGAGUAACGGAGGCGCCCAAAGAUACCCUCAGCAUGGAUGGAAACCAUGCAUAGAGUGCAAAGGCAUAAGGGUGUCUGACUGCGAGACAUACAGGUCGAGCAGGGACGAAAGUCGGGCUUAGUGAUCCGGCGGAUCCGAAUGGAAGGGCCGUCGCUCAACGGAUAAAAGCUACCCUGGGGAUAACAGGCUGAUCUCCCCCAAGAGUUCACAUCGACGGGGAGGUUUGGCACCUCGAUGUCGGCUCAUCGCAUCCUGGAGCUGAAGUCGGUUCCAAGGGUUGGGCUGUUCGCCCAUUAAAGCGGUACGCGAGCUGGGUUCAGAACGUCGUGAGACAGUUCGGUCCCUAUCUGUCGUGGGCGCAGGAGGUUUGAGGAGAGCUGCCCCUAGUACGAGAGGACCGGGGUGGACGGACCGAUGGUGCACCAGUUGUCACGCCAGUGGCACAGCUGGGCAGCCAAGUCCGGACGGGAUAAGCGCUGAAGGCAUCUAAGCGUGAAGCCCCCUCCAAGAUGAGACCUCCCAUUGGCGACAAGUAAGGCCCCUCGAAGACGACGAGGUUGAUAGGCCGCGAGUGCAAGCGCAGCGAUGUGCUUAGCGGGGCGGUACUAAUAGGCCGAGGACUUGGCCAAG